rnacentral:tRNA from 1 species
ACUUGAAUAGCUUAUGGUUAGAGCGCGACACUGAAGAUGUCGAUGUGGUAUAUUAAUUGCCUUUAAGUA